rnacentral:lncRNA from 1 species
CAACGUAUAUGGCACACAAUGACCUACACUUAAUAUCGCUAUCAUCCUAGUAAUAGCGUAUCAUUUGGUCGCGAAUCAAUUUAAGGACUACGCGAUAAAUUCUCCUUUAUCGAUCAAAGUAGUCCUAAGGACUUUAUCACAAUAUAGAAGUUCAUUAGAAGAUAUAUCUUUGUGAUGAAAAAUAUCAAAUAACUUUUAUUAUUAUCAGUUUAUAUAUAUUUAUAAUCAGCACAAUCGUCAAACGAUUUACUUUAGGACACAAUUCCCAACAACUCCCACUUGGACUAAAGCCAAUCAAUAUAGUAUCAUAUACCCAUC